UACGAGGGGGGCAAAUGUUGUUCGGAAUCACUGGGCGUAAAGGGAGCGUAGGCGGGUUUUUAAGUCAGGUGUUUAAUCCCGGGGCCCAACCCCGGACAGGCACUUGAAACUGGGAAUCUUGAAUAGUGGAGAGGUCGGUGGAAUUGGAGGUGUAGCGGUGGAAUGCGUAGAGAUCUCCAAGAACACCCGUUGCGAAGGCGGCCGACUGGACACAUAUUGACGCUGAGGCUCGAAAGCAUGGGGAGCAAACAGGG
rnacentral:rRNA from 1 species